UACCAAGGCUUAAAUGGGAAUUGAUCGGUUUAGAAAUAGACCUUCCUUCGGGCAAUUUUCAAGGUGCUGCAUGGUUGUCGUCAGCUCGUGCCGUGAGGUGUUAGGUUAAGUCCUGCAACGAGCGCAACCCCUGUCACUAGUUGCUAGCAUUAAGUUGAGGACUCUAGUGAGACUGCCUACGCAAGUAGAGAGGAAGGUGGGGAUGACGUCAAAUCAUCACGGCCCUUACGCCUUGGGCCACACACGUAAUACAAUGGCCGGUACAGAGGGCAGCUACACAGCGAUGUGAUGCAAAUCUCGAAAGCCGGUCUCAGUUCGGAUUGGAGUCUGCAACUCGACUCUAUGAAGCUGGAAUCGCUAGUAAUCGCGCAUCUACCAUGGCGCGGUGAAUACGUUCCCGGGCCUUGUACACACCGCCCGUCAAGCCAUGGAAGUCUGGGGUACCUGAAGUCGGUGACCGU
rnacentral:rRNA from 1 species